rnacentral:rRNA from 1 species
UACGGAGGAUGCGAGCGUUAUCCGGAUUUAUUGGGUUUAAAGGGUGCGUAGGCGGGCUUUUAAGUCAGCGGUAAAAAUUCGGGGCUCAACCCCGUCCGGCCGUUGAAACUGGGGGCCUUGAGUGGGCGAGAAGAAGGCGGAAUGCGUGGUGUAGUGGUGAAAUGCAUAGAUAUCACGCAGAACCCCGAUUGCGAAGGCAGCCUUCCGGCGCCCUACUGACGCUGAGGCACGAAAGUGCGGGGAUCGAACAGG